rnacentral:rRNA from 1 species
GACGAACGCUGGCGGUGUGCUUAACACAUGCAAGUCGAGCGACCAACCAGGGCUCUCCCUGGGGCGGCGCCGCGAGCGGGCGGGUAACUCGCACGUAACGUACCCCGCUUACCGGGACAGCCCACUGCGACUCGCGCGAAUACAUGCCGUGCACUCUUCUCAUCCGCAAGGCGAGUAAGUGAAGCUUCGUCCUCCGGAUCGGUAGCGGCCCGCGGCCGAUUAGUUUGUUGGUGGGGUAACGGCCUACCAAGGCUGCGAUGGGUAGCUGGCCUGAGAGGGCGAUCGGCCACACUGGAACUGAGACACGGUCCAGACUCCUACGGGAGGCAGCAGUGGGGAAUCUUGCGCAAUGGGCGAAAGCGUGACGGAGCAACGCCGCGUGGGGGAAGAAGGUCUUCGGAUCGUAAAACCCUGUUAGUAGGGAAGAAGAAAUGUCGAAGUAACGAUGCGCGGCUUGACGGUACCUCAACAGAAAGCCCCGGCUAACUACGUG